rnacentral:lncRNA from 1 species
UUAGCAAAAAAAUGGUUCUGUUGUACAAAAAACAGUGUCACAAAAAAUCUCCCAAAAAAGCUACUUUAGCUUACUUUCACAUGGCCUAUUUACAUUUCUAAUAACUAAGACAAUGUGGCAAUGAGUAAGAAAAUAGGAGAAUAAAGUUAUAACCAGAUUGAAAACAAACCUCUACAGCUUGCAUAUACACCAACGGAAGGUAGUAAAAAAAUGAGGGCAUUCAGCAAGCACAAUCCAAAAUUAGAACUGCACCAGGUGCAUGACCAAUAACAGUUAUAAUGGGCCAGUGGCGAGAAAUUGCCAACACAACAGAUCAGUCGAGAUCAACAUAGGAAAUCAAGAGAAAAUAUUAAGCAAAGGCAAUGUCAAAACAAAUAAGCAUGCUCCAAGCAAAGUUGAGUGACGCUGGCCUUGGAAGUGAAGAAAAAAUGAUUUUCCUAGAGAAGAUAUCUCGAUUCAGUCAAGAUUUAUAAAAAGAAUUAUAUAACAUCUGUAGCUAACAUGCAUUGUUACAAUAGUACACAUCUACAAUGACCAAAAGGGUUUAUUUUUGUAUAUGGAAAUAAUCAGUAAGGUGAGAUUAGUGAACCAACAGAAUGCAACUCACUCAUAAUUAUUUUAAAAAAGAAUAACAAAAUGUGAUCCUCCUUUGGUUAGUGUGUACACACUACACAGAGCUAUGAACAAGGGCUUGAAAAUUAUUAAGUAAAACAAGCACUCGUCAUAACUGUUCUUUCCAAAUCCCCUCACAAGCACAUGUUCUCCAUAGUUCAUUGAAUGUAGAUAGAAUUCAUUAUUAGUUUCUACUAUCACUUAUAACACAUAUAAUAUGGCAGACACUGAACAAUUUUACCAUCAACUUUUUUAUUGUGUUCAUUUGUGUUUGAUACAAUCAAAUUUGAUCUUCUACAUUGAAGAUUAAAGAUGCCAAAGGCUGAUACCAUGCUAGUCUUAAAGAAAAGACGAUUCAGUCAUAAGCGCAACAUAGGUUACAUGGGCAUCUCGAGAAAUGAUUUGAGGAAAAUUCUGUUUCUGGAGAGAUGUUAUUUUCCUUUUAGUUGCGUUCUUAUAAUAUCUUAUUGGAGUAUAGGGGUAUCCAUGCACUUGUUCAGGGCUGCCGAAUGGUCCAUGGAGAGUUUUAUAGAAGCUUUCAAAAGUAUGAAUGUUUAAGAAAAGCCGACAAUUGAAAAUGGAAAUCCAGCUCACAAGGUUUUAUACUUAUAAAUUGAUUUACAUGUUGAUUCUUCAAAUUGUUGAGAGCAUCAUACUCUAAAAUAGAGAGAACAUAUAGGCACGCCCAAGGAUUCAAAUCAUGUUUGGUACAAAUGUCUUAGGAUGCUUAUCCCCCAGUUACCAUUAUAGUCGGUAAAUAUAAUUGUAGUGGUCAAGUUUUCAAUUGUUCUCUUUGCAAGUCCAAACUUCCAGCAACACAUAACAGCAAAAAGAGCCUGUGAGAGUUAAAAAUAGACUGGAAUUAAAGGUAGAAUCUUAUGUUAGAUUUACCGACAAGUAAUCUCACACACGUGCCUACUAUUUUGUUAGCCAAGCAAAACAUAUUCCAAUAAACCAAGAACAAUAGAGAAGCCCUUGGCUAGAUCAACUAACCAUCACGUAAAGAAAAUGUAAAGGAAGAUACCUGAAGAACAUGGCUUGAACUGAACAAUGAGCAAAUCUUGAGUAGGAGAACAAAGAAGCUGCAACCUUCUAGAUCUGACAACAAGCAGAAUGAAAGUAGAGGAACUUGUUAGAGCAUAAGCAUGUCAGCAGACAGUUUACAGACAAGGAAAAGAUUAGUUCAUUUACCCAAGAUUAAAGCCCAAAACGGAUGAGAAAAGCAGCCAAGAUUAAUGGAACAUCUAAAAUAUAGGCACCAAGCCACCAAGCCACCAAGCCAGACAUGAGUAGCCACCUGAUAUCAGCCUCCAAAGCGAC